rnacentral:sRNA from 1 species
GUCUACUAAGGGAAGACAAUUUAGAAGCGUAACAUAACACGCAACAGUUUCAAACGAAAAAAUUAGGAUGAAGACUGUAAUUUUCUUAUUCGGGCUUAUGCUCGUUGUCGCAAUUAUCAUCCCGACUAAUGGAGGACCUAUUGCCGAAGCAACUGCCGAAGCUACGCCUGAAGCAACUGCCAAAGCUACGCCUGAAGCAACUGCCGAGGCUAUGCCUGAAGCAACUGCCGAAGCAACUGCUGAAACAUUUACUGAUACUAAAAUAUUCUCCGAUACCAAUUCUAUGACCAAAGAAUCAUCAUAAUUAACCAUGAUUAAUGGUUAAACAAUAGCAUCAAGGAAGACAUCAAACAGCGAGAAACUCAACUUUAAUAGAAGAAUAUAACAUUUUUAAUGUGAAUCUAAAUAACUCCGAAGCUGAUGACUUGGUGUUGGAAAAGCUAAUACAUGUACUGCACGAAUUUAGCACAUAAUAUUUUUAGAUAUUAUUCGUAUGUUAACAUAAUAAUUUAACAAUUUUGUAAAAAUUAAUAUAAUUUCUAAAUUUUUUCUUCGUAAUUUAUGACUGAUUUUAUUAUUAUCGAUAUCACAGUUUAAAAAUAUAAAAUUGUAUAAUAAAACAAAUAUAGAUAAAUAAAGCAUAUAAAAUAAAUAA